GAUGAACGCUAGCGAUAGGCUUAACACAUGCAAGUCGAGGGGCAGCAUGGUCUUAGCUUGCUAAGACUGAUGGCGACCGGCGCACGGGUGCGUAACGCGUAUGCAACUUGCCUCACAGAGGGGGAUAACCCGUCGAAAGACGGACUAAUACCGCGUACACUCCAUCUUGGGCAUCCAAGGUAGAGGAAAUGAAAUUCGCUGUGAGAUAGGCAUGCGUCCCAUUAGCUAGUUGGUGAGGUAACGGCUCACCAAGGCGACGAUGGGUAGGGGAACUGAGAGGGUGAACCCCCACACUGGUACUGAGACACGGACCAGACUCCUACGGGAGGCAGCAGUGAGGAAUAUUGGUCAAUGGGCGAGAGCCUGAACCAGCCAAGUCGCGUGAAGGAUGACUGUCUUAUGGAUUGUAAACUUCUUUUAUACGGGAAUAACAAGAGUCACGUGUGACUCCCUGCAUGUACCGUAUGAAUAAGCAUCGGCUAACUCCGUG
rnacentral:rRNA from 1 species